GACGGGUGAGUAACGGCUGGGAACCUGCCCUGACGAGGGGGAUAACCGUUGGAAACGACGGCUAAUACCGCAUAAUGUCUACGGACCAAAGGUGGCCUCUACAUGUAAGCUAUCGCGUUGGGAUGGGCCCAGUUAGGAUUAGCUAGUUGGUAAGGUAAUGGCUUACCAAGGCAACGAUCCUUAGCUGGUUUGAGAGGAUGAUCAGCCACACUGGGACUGAGACACGGCCCAGACUCCUACGGGAGGCAGCAGUGGGGAAUAUUGCACAAUGGGGGAGACCCUGAUGCAGCCAUGCCGCGUGUGUGAAGAAGGCCUUCGGGUUGUAAAGCACUUUCAGCAGUGAGGAAGGUCGUGUACUUAAUACGUGCACGGCUUGACGUUAGCUGCAGAAGAAGCACCGGCUAACUCCGUGCCAGCAGCCGCGGUAAUACGGAGGGUGCGAGCGUUAAUCGGAAUUACUGGGCGUAAAGCGCAUGCAGGCGGUUUGUUAAGUCAGAUGUGAAAGCCCGGGGCUCAACCUCGGAACCGCAUUUGAAACUGGCAGGCUAGAGUCUUGUAGAGGGGGGUAGAAUUUCAGGUGUAGCGGUGAAAUGCGUAGAGAUCUGAAGGAAUACCAGUGGCGAAGGCGGCCCCCUGGACAAAGACUGACGCUCAGAUGCGAAAGCGUGGGUAGCAAACAGGAUUAGAUACCCUGGUAGUCCACGCCGUAAACGCUGUCUACUUGGAGGUUGAGGUUUUAGACUUUGGCUUUCGGCGCUAACGCAUUAAGUAGACCGCCUGGGGAGUACGGCCGCAAGGUUAAAACUCAAAUGAAUUGACGGGGGCCCGCACAAGCGGUGGAGCAUGUGGUUUAAUUCGAUGCAACGCGAAGAACCUUACCUACUCUUGACAUCCAGCGAAGCCUUUAGAGAUAGAGGYGUGCCUUCGGGAGCGCUGAGACAGGUGCUGCAUGGCUGUCGUCAGCUCGUGUUGUGAAAUGUUGGGUUAAGUCCCGCAACGAGCGCAACCCUUAUCCUUGUUUGCCAGCACRUAAUGGUGGGAACUCCAGGGAGACUGCCGGUGAUAAACCGGAGGAAGGUGGGGACGACGUCAAGUCAUCAUGGCCCUUACGAGUAGGGCUACACACGUGCUACAAUGGCAGAUACAGAGGGCAGCGAGACAGCGAUGUUUAGCGAAUCCCUUAAAGUUUGUCGUAGUCCGGAUUGGAGUCUGCAACUCGACUCCAUGAAGUCGGAAUCGCUAGUAAUCGUGGAUCAGAAUGCCACGGUGAAUACGUUCCCGGGCCUUGUACACACCGCCCGUCACACCAUGGGAGUGGGCUGCACCAGAAGUAGAUAGCUUAACCUUCGGGAGGGCGUUUACCACGGUGUGGUUCAUGACUGGGGUGAAGUCGUAACAAGGUAGCCCUAGGGGAACCUGCGGCUGGUCCACCUCCUUA
rnacentral:rRNA from 1 species